CAGUAGGCCGCGGUAAUACGUAGGGUGCAAGCGUUAAUCGGAAUUACUGGGCGUAAAGCGUGCGCAGGCGGUUAUAUAAGACAGAUGUGAAAUCCCCGGGCUCAACCUGGGAACUGCAUUUGUGACUGUAUAGCUAGAGUACGGCAGAGGGGGAUGGAAUUCCGCGUGUAGCAGUGAAAUGCGUAGAUAUGCGGAGGAACACCGAUGGCGAAGGCAAUCCCCUGGGCCUGUACUGACGCUCAUGCACGAAAGCGUGGGGAGCAAACAGGAUUAGAUACCCCCGUAGUCCCUGUCUCUUAUA
rnacentral:rRNA from 1 species